rnacentral:rRNA from 1 species
AUUGAACGCUGGCGGCAGGCCUAACACAUGCAAGUCGAACGAGUGGCGGACGGGUGAGUAAUGUCUGGGAAACUGCCCGAUGGAGGGGGAUAACUACUGGAAACGGUAGCUAAUACCGCAUACCAUCUGAUGUGCCCAGAUGGGCUUAGCUAGUUGGUGGGGUAAAGGCUCACCUAGGCGACGAUCCCUAGCUGGUCUGAGAGGAUGACCAGCCAAACUGGAAAUGAGACACGGUCCAGACGCCGACGGGAGACAGCAGUGGGGAAUAUUGCACAAUGGGCGCAAGCCUGAUGCAGCCAUGCCGCGUGAAUGAAGAAGGCCUUCGGGUUGAAAAGUACUUUCAGCGGGGAGGCGGUACCCGCAGAAGAAGCAACGGCUAACUCCGUGCCAGCAGCCGCGGUAAUUC